UACGUAGGUGGCAAGCGUUGUCCGGAUUUACUGGGCGUAAAGCGUGCGCAGGCGGUUGUGCAAGACAGAUGUGAAAUCCCCGGGCUUAACCUGGGAAUUGCAUUUGUGACUGCACGGCUAGAGUGUGUCAGAGGGGGGUAGAAUUCCACGUGUAGCAGUGAAAUGCGUAGAUAUGUGGAGGAAUACCGGUGGCGAAGGCGGCAUCCUGGACCGAAACUGACGCUGAGGCGCGAAAGCUAGGGGGAGCAAACGGGG
rnacentral:rRNA from 1 species